CUCUAUAUAACACCUCCCUAUAACUCCUCCUAUUACUCUGUAUAACCUCUCCCUAUAAAUCCUCCUAUUACUCUGUAUAACACCUCCCUAUAACUCCUCCUAUUACUCCAUAUAACCCUCCAUAUAGCUCCUUCUAUUUCUCUAUAUAACCCUUCCUAUAAUUCCUCUUAUUAUUCCAUAUAACCUUCCCUAUAACUCCUCUUAUUACUCCAUAU